AUUCAUCUGUCACUUGUCUCGCUUUGUGCAAAAAAAGAAAAAAAAAUGCUUCGAGCAACUGGUUUCAGGGCGCCUUGUAUCUGAAAUCAAAUGAAGGGUGAAGCCGGCAAAAAGAAAAACAAUACAGCAAAAGUGGAACCUUAUUCCCACACUGGACCCAAAAUAACUCUCCUUAUCAUUCAGCUCCAAGCAAGGGUGCACAGUUAGUUUACAGCCCCUCCGUACCCAGCACAGGGUAUUUCAAUGUGUGCUCACAAAUACUGAGCCGUCAGAUGAAAGAGAGCGCUGCUCCACUCAGGGAUGGGAGUCCCCACACUGAAUGCAUGAGUGACUGAUUACUUUCUUACCAGUUGAACCUCAACUCCAAAGAAGAGCGUUAGCCCCAGCCUGAAGAGGCCAAACUAGAAACAAGGGCUUUCCAAAUAAUACUGAAUCACAGAUUGGUGCGUUAAGGAUCUUGCGUCAUUACAUUGCAUACAGCUGCUCUUCCUCAAAUUUCAAGCUUUUUCACUUUCCCCCCUGCCAACUCAAUUUAUUCAGUUGCAGUAUGGGGCAGAGUAAGUACAGCCAUUCUUGUUUCUAGAAGCAGACGCGUGGGGAUGGCGUUAGCUUGUUCCCAUCAGAAACAAUGCCGUCUGUCUGUCUGUCUCUCUGUAUGUAACAGCCGUGGUCGAACGGCAGGCCAGGAAAAGUUGCAAAGAAAGUUCAUCCUGUGUUUUAAAACCUGGGUCAGCAAUUGCGAAGGUCCAUUUCUGCAUAAGUGAGCACACAAACCCCAGUGCCUGUUCAAAUAGUCUGCAGCUCUCUCUCAGGCAGCUCAUGACAACAGCCCAGCAGCAGCACUGUUUGAUCUCCAAUGUUUUCCUUAAUCUGGGUUGUCAAGGUUCGCUUGUUGGAGGCUGUUUACUUUACUUCUCCUACAAAAAAGUGUUUUUUUCCCCUCAGACAAUGACUAAUCCAAAGACCGAGAAGGAGGGAGCACUGCCAGCAAUAGUUGUUAAAGCUGCAGUUUACCUUUUGUAAAAUUUCAGAUGGUUUUAGUCCUGCUGUUGCCAGCUGCAGACUUACUGUAUAAUAUAUUAGGGUCAUAUUUCACUCUUAUAUGUAUGUAGUUAACUCUCCAUAGGCUUACAUGAACUGUAUCUUUUUAAAUAAAAUACUGUUUUGAUAAAUACACUAAUUCUGUCUGACUUAACAAGUUAAUAAUAAAACUACAUGAAUUGAGUAUACGAGACAUUUGUUUAAAAUAUACACAUUUACAUUUUAAAGCUGCAUAUUCAUUAUCGUAAUGUUGGCUGGUGUCCCUUGGUCUGUAAUACACCUGUUGUAAAAUGAUAAUUGAAACAGAAAAUGGAUGUAAAAUAUUCUAAAUACAGGUUUACUUAAUUUCUUUGCUUUUAAAGUAUUUCUACAUGCCAGAAUAUUUUUGCUAAAGUACAUUCCUGUGGACUGUGCUUAUGAAUAACAUAAGAUUAGUGUAAAACAAAAAAUAAUAUUUAGCCUACUCACACACUUCAGUGGUAACAAGCAACUGUUAACUGGUAAUUUAGCUAAAUUUAACAAUUUUCCACAACUGAAAAUAAAGUGCUCUGUGACUUCAAGCUGUUUACAGUGAAGAGAAUGCCCAGCUGUAACCCCCUCCAUACCUGACUCAAUAAAAAACACUUAGCUCAAACUUUUCGCCACACAGUUAAAUAAGACAUGUCGUCCAAAACAUUUCACGUUCACUUUAGGGUGUCGCCGCAAUAAUUACAAUUUAACACGCAGUAUCCUUCGCGUCAAUUAGCUCAAAGUUAACCGAGAGGUGAAUAUCCGCUUUAAAUGCAUUGUGUGCCGCCGAGCAGCAGAAGCCCCAAAACCAGCCCUUCAAUAUAACGCCAACGACAGACAACCGGUAAAAAGUUUAACCUGCCCGUUUUUUGGGGGGGUGGUGGUGGUGGGGGCGACUGUAUUACGGUUAUAAUAACCACAGCUUGCGGCAGUUGUCUUGCCUUCCUCUGGUCUCUCGGAGUUUGGAGGACAGCUAACACGUGGGGGAAAAGCUCCUUGCCUGGUCUUACUCCAAAGAAAUCACGGCACUCAAACUUCCCUUUCACCGCGUGAACUUAAAAAACUUUACGGCUCUUUGCCUCGCAGGUAGGCUCGCGAUUACGGUCUCGUUAACGGCCGCCGCUAACCGGCACUUUACACCGAGUACAGGUUAUAAACGUGCAUUUCCCCCACCGACAACGGGGGUCUCACGAGCAGCCACAACUCAGUUAGAAACCCAACUUUCCAAAAAAAAAAAGUAGAGGAUACAACAGUCGUAGCGUAGUUACCGAAAACACUCCUGUAUCAGCCGCUCGUCACAGAGGCAUCACACGGCGCUAACAACUAGCUUACAUGAUAACAAUGCAGGUGUUUGUUUAUUUGUUUAUUUCGCUAAUUGUAGCAGUUCUGGAAAGCGGCAGAAGAGAGGGGGAAAAAAGCCGAAGACAAACUCCCGAGUGUGUGUGCGUGUGUGUUUGAGUGCAGCAGCGGCGGCGGCAGCAGCAGCAGGUCUGAGGAGCACAGCUCAUUUUGCUGUGAACGACAUUACAUUUAUCAUGGCUGCAUCUGGGAGGAAUUGCUGCUGUGGACCCUGUCAGGGAGGUUCUGUUUGUUGGUAGAGAGCGCCACCCUCUGACCAGACCUGGGCACAGGAGAAACGACUGUUCUAAGGGUCACAGUAGUCCAUCUGAAAAAGAGUCCGAUAAAGCCAAAUUCCCACGUUCAAGAUGCAGAAGAUACAGGAUUUAUGUUGUCGUCAGUACCCCGAAGCUACGCCAGACACACAGCAGUGCAGUCUGUGCACGGCCUAAAAUCAUGAUGUUGUGUUCGAUGACCACAGGGCCCACGAAACCACAGCUACACACAGAUGUCCUCUGAGUCAUUCAGCUGAUCAAAGCUGCAGAGUUGGAUUCAAAUAUAUGAUUUAAGGCGAUAUACACACACAUUCACAUUCAGCCAGUCAGACGAUACCCUAACUUUAUGAUUAAAAUGUAUGAUUUUAGAAGAAUUUAAUUAUGCAAACAGAGAAUGAUUGACAUGAAAGGCUCGACCUUUUGACAUCCCAGAGACAAAAUAACUACACUGUCUUCAUCUGGCUUUUGAUUGGCUGUUAUUGAUUUGGAUAUUUGUAUAUCAUGCCAAUCUUAAACUCUUUUAUAGGAUUACUUUAUCAAAUUGUAAACAGGAUUUCCUGAUGCAGUUAAUGAGAAAAUAACAAAUGUAUGCACAGUGUCGUGAAGACAAUCUAACACAUGAUCUGAGCUUUCUAAGUCGUCAGCAGCCUGAUCUGCAUGUCAAUACCGGAUCUAUGAGCUCAGCGAAGCCCAGCAGCCAUGUGUCGGGCUCCGAAUUUAUUAUCAUGUUUUGUUGGUGUCACGCCGGUGAUGUGUUGUGUGGAUUAAGCCCCUGACUCGAUGGAGUGUAGUUACAAAUUAAUUGAGGAUCGCUAUCUGUUACGUAACGACCUCUCCACACAUACGCGUGCACACAACAAAGUAAUUAGCUUUCUGUUAAUUAGGUAAUUAAGCAAAUGAAUAGGGGCUCCUCUUGAUUCCCAAAGGGGGAUGGAUGGCUUUCAUACGGUGUUUUUCCCCUGCCGCUGGGGGCUGUAGCAUUCAACACAUAAUGAAAGGGAGAGGACUGUACAGAUAAUGAGCAGUGAACAACUGUCAAUGAGGAAAAGAGGAAGAGAGCAGAGCUCAUGAUACCUUCAUGAUCAUUCUGCAAUUGUAGAUAUACUAGAGGGCUUUCAUUUUCAUUUUCAGUCAUCAAACAGAAGUUUCAAAGUUUUAGGUAAAGGUAAAGGACACAUUUGACAAUUCAGUAUUUUUUUUCCAAGAUGUACAGUAAACUGUAAGGAACUGAACAUUUCCUUUAUGGUGUUACCAUAUUUUUCUUUGUAUAACCGAAUCCUUAAAGGCAUGUAUUAUUACAACCAGACACAAUGGGGGGAAAAAAAACACAUUUUUUUUCAUUCACUGGUCAAUUUUGAGAUUUCGGGCUAUUUGCAUCCAUGAGAUGUCACUCAGGCAGAAAACAUCCAAAAUACAGAUUUGGGAAUUCAUUGGUAAUAUCUAUUAGUUUAAAGUUUUAGCCUAUAUGCCAUUAUUUCUUUAUUUACAAUACAUAUCUUUCAAGGCUGUUUUCUCAAAAUGAGUUUAUUUCUGAGACUCUGAGCCAGAAUUAUCCACUUCUGCAGCAAACUUUCCAGUUCCACUACUUUCUGUAUUCUAAAGGUGUUUACAGUGGGGUUUGUAAAUAUAUCAUUCAUAGCUUGAUUUAUAAAAUAUUCCAUAUUUCUUUCUUAAUUAUUUGGCUCUUGACAUUGUUUUCUGCUUUGUGGAGUGAUACAUAGAGACAUCCAAAAGUCCCUCUGUAAAAAGCUCUAAUAUGUCAAGAAAGACAGAAAGACAGACAUCUGUCUUUAUUCAGUGUUCAUAUGUCUUCCUGGA